rnacentral:rRNA from 1 species
UACGAAGGGGGCUAGCGUUACUCGGAUUGACUGGGCGUAAAGGGCGCGUAGGCGGUUCGUACAGUCAGACGUGAAAUUCCUGGGCUCAACCUGGGGGCUGCGUUUGAUACGUGCGGGCUUGAGUUCGGAAGAGGGUCGUGGAAUUCCCAGUGUAGAGGUGAAAUUCGUAGAUAUUGGGAAGAACACCGGAGGCGAAGGCGGCGACCUGGUCCGAUACUGACGCUGAGGCGCGAAAGCGUGGGGAGCAAACAGG